rnacentral:RNase_P_RNA from 1 species
GCGAUGAACCAGGCCGCCGCGGCUUAUAACGGCUCUGUUUCGUUCAUAAGCUGAGGAAAGUCCGGGCUCCGCAGGGCAUGAUGCCGGGUAACUCCCGGGCGGUCCUUCCUCAAGGGGGGGCCGACAGCAAGCGCAGCAGAAAGCAUACAGCCCCGGGGCGGUUCCGAAAGGGACGGUCCCGGCGGUAAUGGUGAAAGGGCAGGGUAAGAGCCUACCGCGGAACCGGUAACGGUUCCGGCACGGCAAGCCUCAUCAGGAGCAAAGUCAAGCAGCGUCGCCGGGGGUUAUCCCUUGGCAUGGGGAUUGGGCUCCGGUCCGGUCUCCGGCGGCGGCCCGCCGCUUAGACGCGGGUAGACUGCACGGAAACGGCCGGCAACGGCCGUUCCAGACAGAUGGCGGCAGUACGGCCUCUAACCGCAGGGUUAUGGGCCGUAUUACAGAACCCGGCUUAUGGUUCAUCGCUUUU